UUCACUUUCUCCUACAGAAUCCAGUAUCUCACCUGCCACGCUCGUGUGGCUUUUGGCACUGAACAGUUGGGCUGUGAUUUUCUGGCAGGCAAGCAUCAACACAUCUCCAUCUUUAGUUUUCUGACAGCUGAGCGUCAGGAACAGUGUGUUGCAGAGCACCCUGUGGGAAAACAGUACCAGCACAAAUCUGAGGAGGCCCCAACCCUGCAGCUCUCCUUGGAAAGGCUCUCCUCCUCUCCUCUGCAGAGGCAAAGACCAGAGAAACAGUUUCACCUGAUUGUACUUCAGACUGGAACCCCUUCCUCUGAGCCACCUCCUUCCUGCUGCAGACACAGAAUGGUGUCAAAGGAAUAGAGAGCGUUGAAGGGCGCACAGUCAGGUGAGUGAGUGGUAAGCAACAGAGGGAUCCGAGCGGCUGAGGUCAGGAGAGUGGUCUAAAGAGCAGUGAGGAGAUUCACGGAAGAAAACUCAAGAGGUUUUCUCCAAUGAUCCAAAGAGCAAGGAAGCACAGCACGGAGGCGUGGGAGCAUGACGAAGAGCCAACAUCUGUGAAGGAGGACAGAAAGGGUUUGCAUAAGAACUGGGAAGGAGAGGUAACACAAGAGAAGGUAGGCCUGAUUACCACGCUGGUGAGCAAAAACAAUCUGGAAUUUGCCUCAGAGACUGUGCUCCUUUUUAUGCAGCUCCAGCGCUGAUUAACUGUAACUGUGGGACCUGUAGCUGUGCCAGUCACACCCUGCAAUGAAGAGAAAAAAAAUAAUGCAGGUGUGUUCACCAUCAUUCCUGAAUUCAUCUCACCGGAGCUGUAAAUCAUCCAAACAUCAAUGAAGGACUUGUGUGUACAUGCAGACUGAAUCAAGGAGGCAGUCGGAGCUGGAGUUAAAUUCUGCAUCCUGGUUACCAUGGCUUCUGGAGACCUUGGGGAGACCGAACCUCCUAGGAGGAUAACCACGCCAUCUGAGGCUGUUCUCUUGCACACAACUGGCUUGCUUUGUUGUGUGCUAAUAUUGCACAAAUGAGUCCUUGAGUAUUAUGCUUCUUCAAAGAAGCAUGGAUGGAAAGAACAAUGUAUUCACCUCUUUCCUCUGUCAUCUUUGUUGUUAAUUUGCUCAGCAUUGUGGGAGUAAACCAGCUUGCAUUGGUGUUCUAUCCACAGAUGGAUAUAAAGAAAGAAAACUGAAAUAAUUAAUCAAUUAAAACCCUCAGGGAGGGCUUUUAAAUCUACAUAAUAUCAAACUGUAGCUUUUUCUGUUUUAUUAUUAACUAGGCAUAUUGGGUUCUGUGAUGUAUUUCUCGCAUGCCUAAUUAUUGAGAUAUGAAUUAUCUUUCGUCCUUUGCAAUUUAGUAAAUAAAUCCCAAGGGGGCUCAUUUGAAGCAGGAAAUAGGCCAGAUUUCUAAGUGGAGAAACCACCAUGUGAACCAUGUUCCAUAAGGGAAAUAUAUUACCAAAUCAGUCAUGUAAUAGAGAAAAUCAAAGCUCCCACGUAACCUUGUUUACUCAGAGGAUUGUGGUGUUUGGUUGGAGUGAUAAUAAGACAGCUUCCCAACUGUUUUCUCAAAACAUGUGUAGCAAAGUUAAAAGGGGGGAUUACGAUCAAUAUAACAAGAACAUUUUGGUGUAUGCUGUAAAAUCUUAAUCUGCUCGAUAGGGAAGAGACUCACUGGAAUUAGGUCUUAACAUAAGAGCUCAGAAUUAUUCAGUUUAAAGUAUUCUUUUAAUUUUACCACACGUUUGUUUCCUAUUGGAAGCUAGAGUCCUGACUUGAAUCUGAUAGAGAACCUGACCUAGGGGCUAAAAUUUAGGGUGAUGAUAGGGAGGCCUUUCAGCCUCAGAGAGUUGGAGCUAGUCACAAAAGACAAAAUACCGAAGGAAACAUGCAAAAAGCUGUUCAGCAAUUAUAAGAGUUGGAUUUCUGUAAUGGCAAUAAAGAUUCUUCUAUUGAUUGUCAAUGUUUUAUUUUUGUCUGGAUACUUAGAAAAGCCAGGCUUAUUUCCUAUCAGAAACAAACUUCUUGGUUGAAUGAAAAUAAUAUAAAAUCUAAAUCUGCCAUAGAAAUAAAUAAUAUUUUGUGUACCUGUA